rnacentral:rRNA from 1 species
GCAAGGUUAACCGAAUAGGGGAGCCGAAGGGAAACCGAGUCUUAACCGGGCGUUAAGUUGCAGGGUAUAGACCCGAAACCCGGUGAUCUAGCCAUGGGCAGGUUGAAGGUUGGGUAACACUAACUGGAGGACCGAACCGACUAAUGUUGAAAAAUUAGCGGAUGACUUGUGGCUGGGGGUGAAAGGCCAAUCAAACCGGGAGAUAGCUGGUUCUCCCCGAAAGCUAUUUAGGUAGCGCCUCGUGAAUUCAUCUCCGGGGGUAGAGCACUGUUUCGGCAAGGGGGUCAUCCCGACUUACCAACCCGAUGCAAACUGCGAAUACCGGAGAAUGUUAUCACGGGAGACACACGGCGGGUGCUAACGUCCGUCGUGAAGAGGGAAACAACCCAGACCGCCAGCUAAGGUCCCAAAGUCAUGGUUAAGUGGGAAACGAUGUGGGAAGGCCCAGACAGCCAGGAUGUUGGCUUAGAAGCAGCCAUCAUUUAAAGAAAGCGUAAUAGCUCACUGGUCGAGUCGGCCUGCGCGGAAGAUGUAACGGGGCUAAACCAUGCACCGAAGCUGCGGCAGCGACACUGUGUGUUGUUGGGUAGGGGAGCGU